AUGUGCCGUGAUCUGUACCAAGAGGAAGCUAAUGCAAAUGCCAGUUGCUUUGAGGAACCAGUAGGGAACAGAACUGGCAAAGGUCCACCGACCACACUCUCAGGAUGGAAGAUGCUGGGCACGAAGGAAAGUUUCUGCCUGGAUACGUUUCUGCUGCAAAGUCUUCAUUGCACUUGUUCACAGAAUCUCUCCUCCGUACGUCUGUCCUUUCUGUCUUCCACUGAGGACAAGGAGGCUUAUCAGCAAGAGAUAUUGGGCAUCUAAAACCACAGGACGCAGCAAUCUAGGCCAUCAAAAGCAAACUAAAUAGAUGCAUGACUCAUUUACAGAAUUUUCAGAAUGGAGCCUAGAGAAUGAAAAUGUAAUUUAUGGCUCAUUUAUACUAUUCUGAAUGUCACUGGAAGACAACAUUUCAUGGAUAAGGAAGCCAGCCAUGAUUAGCAUUCAGUUCAUCCACAGCCCAUGACAACUGUUUGUUUCCACUGUGAUCUAGAAGACUUUGCUUUAGGAUGAAAACUUAAUUGGAUCUAUUGAGGGAGAGAGCUGCCAUUG
rnacentral:lncRNA from 12 species